GAGAGAGUUCAAAAGUACGUGAAACCGUUUAGGGGUAAACGGAAAAGAUCCAAAAUAUCUUUAAGGAAAGAUUCACGUCCAUUUAAAUAUCUUGCAAAUUAAUACAGGACAACAUUUUGCCCCAUUCGGUUUAACUGAUUUGGUGGAUUGUGUUGCUUGUAUAUAUUUGUAUUUAUAGUAUUAAACGGACCGCACUUCUUUCUAAAAAAGACACCGUAAACUGUGCUAAAGCAAUCAUUAUUGGACAUCUUAAGUGUCUAUUAUAAAAUGUAUAAAUUUUUGUAUAUUUAUUAGUAGCUAAGUAGAUCCAAUGUUGCUAAUAGUACAGUAAUGUUUUUGUGCAAAUCUUAAGCUAAUUUUUAUUAGUUUUAUAUAAUAUGCUAGUUAGUUUUAUACAUUUUUUAAGACUUUUAGCCUUGUUGUAUAUAUAUCUAACUGUUUGCAUUAAUUAUAUAAAGCA
rnacentral:rRNA from 1 species